ensembl:lncRNA
CCACCUUCAUUCUCCCAGCUUGGAGGAGAUACAGAGAAAGCACCCGAAGGCGAAAAUAAGGAGGGCUGUUGUGUUGGACAAAGCGUCGCGGACUCGUAUUCCCAGCCCCAGUGGGAGGUCCUGGAGCCGAUUGAAAAUGGGGAGCCUGAGACGAGGAAGGGCGCGGGACGAGGCCAAGGACUGGGCGGGAUAUGGCGGCUGGAAUGCCGGCUGACGUGCCAACUCCCAGCAGACACUGUAAUUCAGGAACUCUGAGGCCUUCAGGGCCCCGGGCGGCUCCGGGCAGCAGCUCAGGCCCGGAGAUCGUCGAUCGAAGACCCGGAGAUACACCAGGAAGCAGUCUAGACAGCACUUCUGCAACUGUGGACAGGCGGGCCGGGUCUGAACCGACGCCGAACCAGGGCUACCACGGGGACAAUCGCUAGUGGCGGGUUUCCUGGCCCUAGGAAAGACCCACGUGGUGCAAUCGGAAGCAGGUGAACGCCCUUGGCUGGAUUUCAUUGGGACCGGUGGCCUGGAAGAUCGAAACCUCCUUCCGGCAGAUUCUGUGGAUCAGGAAUUAAGCCACGACUUGGCUUGGCAACUGGGCAAUUCUUCUGCUCCCUGUGGCAUCAUCAGUGGUCACUCAGUGGGACUCAGCUGACCGACAGAUUAGUCCAGAGGAUCCAAGACAGCUUCACACAGACCUGAAUGACUGGCUGAGCUCAGCUAGAAGUGUCUUCAGGAGUACCUGCGCAUGGCCUUGCCAGCUGGCCAGUCUCACGGCAGGCUUACCUGGCGGCUGCUCCCUCCAGAGUGAGCGCUGCAGGAGAACCAGACAGAAGCUGGCCUUUCGUGAUACAGCCGCUGAAGCCAUGUAGCAUUACUUCCUAUAAAAUGUUGGUCGAAACAGCCACAGCAUCCCAUCUGGAGUCACAGGGAGGGGACAGAGACCCACCUUUCGAUGGAAGGAAUAACAGUGACCAUUUAAAAAAAAU